rnacentral:tRNA from 1 species
CCUCUGUGGCUUAGUGGUAUAGCGAUUGAUUCGUAAAGAUUCGGUCGGGGGUUCAAUUCCCCCCAGGGGCU